UACGAAGGGGGCUAGCGUUGCUCGGAUUGACUGGGCGUAAAGGGCGCGUAGGCGGUUCGUACAGUCAGACGUGAAAUUCCUGGGCUCAACCUGGGGGCUGCGUUUGAUACGUGCGGACUUGAGUGCGGAAGAGGGUCGUGGAAUUCCCAGUGUAGAGGUGAAAUUCGUAGAUAUUCGCAAGAACACCAGUGGCGAAGGCGGCUCACUGGCCCGAUACUGACGCUGAGGCACGAAAGCGUGGGGAGCAAACA
rnacentral:rRNA from 1 species